UGCAUGUUUACUUUCGGUUUUAAUACGUCUGUUGUUGCACGGAGGACGCUGGGCUAUGAAAGUGUUAACGCAUAUGUGUUAUAUCAUUAAGGGAGUAUAGAUUUACAUUGUAGUCUAGUACAAGUGCUUUAUAUUACUUUAUUUAACUUGUUUUAACAAAAUGGCGACACAUUCUGAUCGGAUUACCUUCUUUUGCUGUGUAUCAUGCAAGCAUAGCAAGAAUAUCGAAACAUAUUCAGUGUAUUACUGUAAAAAAUGUCAACAGUGUUUCUGUAGAGAGUGCUGUGAGCUACAUGAUUAUUUGUUUAGUAACCAUGUUAAGUACGACCGACUGAAUAUGAGGAACUGGCCAGUUUCAAAGGAGUUGGAGGCUGUUUUACUGAUGUGUGAAAUACACACUCAUAAACAACUAGAGACGUUCUGCAAAGAUCACAGUCAGCUGUGCUGCUCAAAAUGUGUUUCCUUAAGUCACAGAAAAUGCCAAAAGAAAACACUUACCUCUGCCAAGAAACAAAUAACACUUACCUCAGCCAAGAAAAAGGCAGCAGAUGUACAAGAACUGAUUGAGAAGCUCCUGAUCAAUAUGAGAAAACUGAGGAAACUGCAGAGUUGCUGUGAGUCUGAAAUCGAGGAUCUGACGAGUUCCUACCAGGGGCAAGAACACAUUGUACAUAAAAUGAAUGACAAAAUUAAAUCCACUAUAGACAAAAUUGUGAGGAGAACUUUCAAGAAAACACCUAAAGUUGAGCAAAACAAAAAAAAAAUACAUGAAUUAAUGCAUUCCAGAUUGUUUGAUAUAGAGAAUAUAACUUUGAGUGAAGCAAACAUAACACUACUGAGUCUUCAAACUUCUCUAAAGACUGGUGUUGAAAGCUGCAUCCGUCAUCAUCGUGAAUUAAAAGCAGUCCAUGAACUCCUGCUAUACAGCAGUGACAACAACAACAAGAAACUCUGCUUUAUAGCAGGCCGGAAAUGCAUAGACAAAAUACAACAGGUCGAAUCAUACCUGGAUGAGAACAGUGUUAAACUUGAAUGUGCGGUAUUAAACCAGACUAUACAAGGCACUGAGCAGUAUUUGUCAAAAUUGUCAGGUCUGGUGAAGCUGUUAAAGAGUAUGAACGCUAACACUGACAUUGAAUUGUACUUGUCUAAACUGUCUGGUCUGGUGAGAGUUGUAUGCCCUAACCAUGUGUUCACUGUCCAGGGGAAGUCGGAGCACUCUGUGAGAAUACAAAGUGAUACAGCCACAUGCUAUAUCACAGUCAUCUGUGUCCUCCCAAACAAACAGGUUCUGGUUGCAGACUAUUAUAAUAAGAAAGUCAAGCUGCUUAAUCAGCAGUACCAUGUGUUGAGUCAUUGGGUUGUGACUUCAUAUAUAUAUGACAUGUGUCAGAUCACACCCAGAGAAGUUGCAGUGGCUUUGCAUGGGAAUAAUAGUAACAUACAUGAGGUCCAGUUUAUCACAGUCAACCAGAGCCAGCUCGCUCCAGGUAGGAAGCUUGAGUUACUACAUAACUGUUGGGGUAUUGCCCACCACCAAGGUGAACUGUUUGUCAGCUCUGGUACAGCACUGUUCAAAUACUCAUUGAGUGGCAAACUGGUCUGCAGACUCUAUAAGGACAUAUCAGGAUGUACAGUAUACAAGUGUGCUGUGAGUCAAACAGGGGACAAGCUGUACAUUACAAACCAGGAGCAGAACAAGCUCCUCACCCUAGCCAGGAAUGGAACACUCUUGGCUACAUUAACAGACCCAGCACUAGAAGUCCCAUAUGGUCUACAUGUGAUGCCUGCAGGCCAGGUGCUGGUCUGUGGAUGGCUGUCCAACACUAUUUUACAGGUGGACAGAGAGGGGAGGAGAACGCUGGGCAUUCUGGGUACAGAGAAGAGGGAUGGAGUGGGGCACCCAAUGUCAGUCUCCUACAGCAGUACCACAUCCUCUAUUAUUGUGGGACAAUAUGGAGGCAUCCUUGUGUUCAGAGUGGAAUAGUGUGGACAUGUAUGUAUUAGCUUGUUGUAAUUAGCGAUUAAUAUUUUACUGACAAUGUGUUGUUUGAGCAUAAUAGCAUCGAAGUGUGUUAUAUUUUAAUACAAUAGUGUGUUUGUAGUUGCAGAUACAACUCAUUUGUUUACAAAUAUUGUUAUUUACUUAAAUAAUGUUUUAUUUUUCUUUGAAAACUAUAUCUAAUACAUAUAAUUUGUUGCUGUCUUAACAUUUGUUUCAUAAUUGUUUUUGUAUGCUGCACAUGAAAAAACAAAGCUUUUCGACUGUACAUUAAAAACUUGUACAUAGAUGCAAUGCCUUGUACAUAGCACUGUAUGUUAUUUGUACAAUAUGUUACGUAUGAAAUGUAUAUUGAUGCAUAUUUUUUUAUAAAAUAUUAAAUAGUUGUAGUCAUCUGAUGAGGAAUAUAUUUAUUGAUGUUUUCAGUAAUGUUUACAAAAUGUUCACACUUGAUCUAAUAUUUUAUAAUUUACUUUGCUGUAUACUUUUGAACAUUGUUUUUGAUGUUUAAUUACAUUUAUUUAAAUGUGUGUAAGUCCAGAAUGUACAUACAAUAAUAACAUCAAGCUAGUCUGCUGCUUCGGGUGUUGCUGAGUCAGGACAAUAAUGCUAAGGAUGUGGUGGACAAGAAUAACUUGAAUAUGCAGAAGGUACUUGACCAACCACUGGAGGCCGUCCCGUCUGGUCAGGUGUCAACGAUAGUUGUGAUUGACAAGUCUAACGAAGCAGAGGCAACGAAACCCAGCAAUAUUCUAUUCAAUGUAUGAAAAAAAGCAACAUUGACUCGUGGAGAGCACCAGCAUUGAUAUCGAGUUGGGCCAGUAAUAGCACCAGUCCGGCAUGCAGUAGCCUCAGUUUAACCCAAACUCCUUCACCUUGACCUCCGAACCAUUUAACAAUUCUGUUCUGCAGAAAAAUCUGAGCACGUCGAGUUGUGUUUUAACACGUUGCUCUCAACAACCUCAAAGUCCGUGUCGAGUUUUCCACACUCAAGCCCGAGUACUUUUGUUUAGCUUUAUUGCCCGAGUGGGACGAGUGUUACAGACACGAGAAGUUAGCAGUACUUAUGGUAACGCUAACAGUCAGUUCUUGCUGUUGAACAUCACAACCAAUAUCAUGAAGAAUAAAAAAAGUUGAAUAACUUGUUCAAUUCUUUGUGGGACAAACAGAAAUUCAGCGAGGAACGGGAGAAAAUCAAGGUAAAAUGGAAGCGAGUUAUUCAGAAGUGUAAGCUUUCCAAGGGAGAUACUUCUAGUUUGGACAGUAAUUGCGUUACGGACUGUCACGGUUUGUUCUUGCAGGGGCAAAACUGUCCAAAGACGGCUUUUUGAGGCUGUAGCUGACAAAGAAGGGCAAAAAUGACUUUGUUUUGAAAA